CAUUGAUAGCUCAAAUAAUAGAGCAUAGCACUGAAGAUGCUAAGGUAGCAAUCUUUGCUUCAAAGC
rnacentral:tRNA from 1 species